AUGAGUAGCCCAACCUGCACUAUCAUAUCCUGGAACGUUAGAGGCCUGAAUUUUCCUGCUAAACGCCACGCUGUCCAGGAAAGUUUAGCUGCUUGGAAACCAUCCAUUGUUUGUCUUCAAGAAACAAAAAUUAGUGACUGGACUGAUGCUCUAUCUAGGGAAAUUGGGGGCGCGACUCUAGACCAAGUAUGCCACCUGCCUGCCAACGGAUCUAGAGGAGGCAUCAGCAUCUUCUGGAACAGCUCUGUGGUGCAUCUUAGCAACUGUAUCGCCUCCCACUUUUCCCUAACGGCUACUAUCAAAUCCCUAACAGAGGAUAAGGAGUUCUACCUCACGUCAGUUUACGGCCCAACUGAUGACAACCUCAAAGAAGCUUUCCUUGAUGAGUUAUGCUCUGCUGCGCCUGUUCUCAGCCGCCCUGGCUUGCCCUUGGAGACUUUAACCUAA
rnacentral:rRNA from 1 species